UAUCUCUCCGUACGGGGAAGGAUGAGAAGCUUCGACUAAGGUUCGAUUCGAGCGAAAGCGAGAAAGCGUUGCCGUAGGCAACGACCCGAAGGGCGAAGCGCGCAGCGCUGAGUCAUCCUUCCCCCACCACCA
rnacentral:sRNA from 1 species